UUGUUUGGGAAAUGAUGUUGAAGAAUGUGAGAAUGAGAAGCAUGAGAAGAAAAGAAGGGUGUUGAUGAAGAGGGUUGUUGAAUCUUUGUCCAUGUUGAUUUAAUAUGAGUAUGUAGUGGAAAUUUUGGAUAUGAAAACAGGAUUUGAAGGACAAGAAAUAUGAACCGCAUAUGUUGUGAAGGUAUUGGCUAGCGGACAAAUAUGACCUUGGAAAUAUCAAUUUAUCAUUAAAAAAUGUUGGGUAACUUUACCCACAUGACAUGUCUCACAUCUAUUGAUAAUUAAUUAUUUGAUUUGUUAUGUUAUCGUUGAAUUUUGGAGGUGUUUUUUAUCAUUAAAGUCUUCGCUUUUCUUUCUAUUCUUUAUUAGAAACUAUGUUAGAUUUUGGUGAUUUUGGAUUGGAUUUGAAGCAAUAUUUGAAAUUUUAGUUGUUUCUUUGUCAUUAUUGCAACAUGUGAUUAUUUAAAAAAAAAAGCAAACAUUAAUAACUUUUAAUUAAGCAAAAAAGUAUUUGAGUAAUAAAGUUUACUUAAGCUCUUAUAUAAUUUGAAAACUCAAUUCUAUCUCUAAUAGUUAACUUUAUUCAAUAAUUAGUUAUUUAGAUUCUUUGAUCAUGUUUGAUUAGGAGCGAGGCUAUAACACAAAUAUCAAUGUUGAUAUCUGACACAUUAAUAAUUUGAGAAAAUGAAAUAGUUAAAUGUAAUUAUAUAUAUUAGUAUUAGUUUAUAUAGACAUAUUUUUAAUUAUAGGUAGUGUUUUAUGAAUCAAAUUGAGGACCUUUUACCCCUUCAUCCCUAAUACAAUUUCGAUUUUGACAAUUCAUAUAUAAAAAUUAGAAUGUGUUUGUAUAUGAUGCGUUGAGUUAUGCAAUGUGAUAGUUUUUUUUAAUAAAAAUAUUAAUUAGUUUCUUUAGGAGGUUAGUUUAAGGAAUUUAGGGAUAAUUAUGAUCAUAAUAUUUGUUUUUUUAUUAGAUGCACCAAAUUAUUAAGAUAAACUUUUACAAAUAUGAUUGGAUAGGUUACAUAUCUUCUUAUGUUUUUUAUAUCUUCUUAUGUUUUUUAAUAUAUUAAUGACAAUUUUUUACGGGAAUAUUAAUCGGUGCUUUAUAUUUAUCAAGGAUAAAUAUUUAUCAUGUACUUAAAUAUUUACAAACGAUAAAUUUAUUUGUAUCAAUCAAUGAAAAAUAUUUGUUAGAUUUUUGUAUAUUCAAUAAAAAAUAUGUGUCCGGUAUUUUUUUUAUAAUCAAUAAAUAUAUCUUCCAUGUUCUUUUAUGCAUUUAAAAUCAAAUAUUUUGUUUUAAUUAAUAUAAAAAUAUAAAAUACAAUUUAAAAUGAAACAAUUUAUCCUGUAAUGUAUUGAUAAUUAAAAUUUUUAAAAAUUACUUAGUCUUAUAUAUUUAUCUUGUAUAAAAAAUUUAUAACAAAAUAAAAUAAAUUAAUUGAUUAAUGACAUAUAGUUAUUUUAUGUUGAAUUCAUAAAAUAUUGAUUUUACAAAAUUCUUUAAUAACAUUUGUCAUUCGUCAUGUAUAUAGUUUUAUGAUAAAUUUUUAUUAAUAUAUAUAUUAAAUUAAAUUGAUAAUUGAAAAUAUAAAAAUUAUUUAGUCACAAGUAUUUAUCUUGUAUAAUUUUUUUAUAACAAACUAAAAUAAGUUAACUGAUUAAUCAUAUAUAGUUAUUUUAUGUUGAAUUAUACGACUCAAAAUAUUAAUUUUGUAAAAUUCUUUAGAAAGUACAAUAGUCAUUAAUCAUAAUCAUGUAUAUAGUUUUAUGAUAAACUUUAAUUAAUAUUUAUUAAAAUAAGUUUAAAAUUUAUUUAGUAGACAAAAAAUAUUAAAUUAAAAUGAUUGUUUAACAAAACAAUUAUUUUAUAAAUUUAAUGGUAGUAUAUUGUCAGUAAUCAUAUAAAUAAUUUAAAUUUUAUAAGCUGACUUGAUAUGGUACUAUAUUGAUUGAUAGUAUAAAAAUAAUUUACACGGUGAGUGAACCAUCUCUUUUCUCUUAUUUUAUUUAUUAAAAAUUGUAUCAAAAUAAUUGUGUGGAAGAUAAACAAGUUUAUUUUACGCUAAAAAUAAAAUCACCAUACUAGUAAUUUGCAUUAUUGAUUUCUAAUGAUGAGAGUAGUAAAACAAAAUAUUAAAUUUAGUUGGGGGUGUAUAUUAGGGGGGAAAGAUGUUAUCUUUCUGUUGGUUCAGAAUAUGGACGUGAAUUGGGCCUUUACUUUGGUCCCUAUUCCUUUUUCCAAUUUGACAGUAUAAAAUGAAGCUUUCUUCCUCAACCACUGAUAUAGUGUUGUUGUAAACUAGCAGAGCCGUCAAGGUGCUUAGGGUUUAUACAUUUUGCAUAAUUCGUAGUGUUCAUCAUUUCAUUUUCUUCAAAUUUAAUUUCAAAACUGUGAAUCGUGAGUGAUGAAGUUUAGGGGUGAAGCAUAUAGGGGAGAGCAGUAUUAAUCUGUGGCUCUGAAAUACCCGUAGGUUCUCUAUGGGGUGCCCUGUCUUUCAUGCCCUUUACAUCAAAUAUAUGGCAUCAUAGUACGGAUUUUGUGCUUUUAAUCACUUUUCCGCCUCCAAACGCCAUUACAUCAUAAUCAUACACUUCAUCACUCUUCAUUUUGUUCUGAUACAUAUCAAUUUUGUAGCAAUAAUAAGGGGUUUUGUUGUUUUAAACUUGGGUUGUUAAGAAAGUGAUGAUUAAAGCGCAGGUACUUCUGAGAUAUAGUUGGUUUUCGACAGAUCUAGUGUUAGUUCUCUUGGUGCAGCAUACUAUACUAGUGUUGCUGUGCCGGGCUUCUGGAUCGAGUCUGCAUGAUUAUAUUAUUAACUGCUUACUGAUUUUUUUUUUUUACUUUCAAAGUAAUUGGUUAUACCGUAAAAUCUAGUUCUACUAUAAUUGUUGCUUUUGAUGUGCAUUUAAACAAAGUGUUUAUUUGUAAUUUUGUUAAGAUGAUUUGUGUAUUUUUGGGGCACUAAGGUUGUUUAUUUACAGGAUGUUAUUACCCUAGAGCAGUUACCUUUGGUAAUUUUGUCUUCCCGAUUUUGUUUUUGUUUGUGUUAACACCAAAAAUCAUUAUGUAUGGAGAGAUAGAGAAUGAGAGGGACUAUGGGUUUUCGUUGUGCAGGCUAUAACUUAUCCGAAUCGCAAGAGACUAUGGGUAUAUAUGGUUUUUAUAAAUAUUAAUAAAAUUUAUUCAACAAUUACUCUGGAAUUUCAACUGAGAAGCAAAACUAACCAAGAAACUGCAAUCAGAAAAUGCAAAAGGUAACAUAUGGCGUGUUUCAAUCGGCUAAGUUCACAGUUGCGAAGAGAAAAGGGAAGUUUUUGAAGAAGUGGAGACUGAGAGCACAAAUAAUAUAAACCAUACAUUCAUCCCGUCCCACAUUGAUUGUUUCAUUAAUAUUAAGUGAUUAUAUAAUUCACCAUGGUUUUAAAUUAUUUAUUUCAUAUGUAAGUAAAAAAUGCAAUGGUAACAUUUAGAACCGCAAUUUAAACAUGUUGUCAUGGAUUCAUACUCUAAGAAACGGAUUUAGACCCAUAAAAUAUCUUUUUAAUAUUUUAAUUAAUUAAUUAAAAUUUUUAAUUAAAAUUAAUUAAAUUUAGUUUAACUAUUAUUAAAUAUUAAAUUAGUUAAAAACAUAUUAAAUAAUAAAAUAUCAUAGUUAACUUUGUGAAUUAAUUAAAUUUUUUUUUUUUUAAUAAGGGGAUCAAGAACAUUAAUUUAAAAGGAAUCAAAACUACAUUUAAACCUUAAUCAUUUAUAUGAUAUUAUGAAAUAAGUUUAUAG
rnacentral:lncRNA from 1 species